UACAGAGGGUGCGAGCGUUGUUCGGAAUUACUGGGCGUAAAGCGCGCGCAGGCGGCCUUUUAAGUCUCGUGGUGAAAUGCCGGGGCUCAACCCCGUGCCCGCCGGAGAUACUGGGAGGCUGGAGACGAGUAGAGGCAAGCGGAAUUCCGGGUGUAGCGGUGGAAUGCGUAGAGAUCCGGAAGAACACCGGAGGCGAAGGCGGCUUGCUGGGCUCGGUCUGACGCUGAGGCGCGAAAGCGUGGGGAGCGA
rnacentral:rRNA from 1 species